GGUUGGUGGCUUUGAAUUAACACCAUGAACAAGUUUUAUUUUCCUUUGUUUACUAUCCUGUUUCUGCCUAGUAAGUAUAUAUAAAACCACACUAUAACAUUUUCAAAUGUUGUGUAUUGUAUGUAAUGCUGUUUUUAUCCAUAUUUUGCAGAUGUUCAAUCACAGAUUUCUGUGUCACUGUCAGUUCCUGAACUAGUGAGACCUUCAGAGACAAUUACAUUAAACUGUAAAGUCACUGGUGCUGCAAUCACUGAUAGCAGUAAAAUUUAUGCUGUGAACUUUAUAAAGCAACUUGUAGAUGGUACAAUUGUGUUUUUGGCUCAUCUCAACUAUGCUCAGGGUACAGCAUACAACCCAACAUUAAAGAAUAGGCUCACUCUGUCAAGAGACACAGCUCAAAAUGAGGUAUCUCUGAAAAUAAGAGAAAUGAAACCAGAAGACACAGCAGUAUAUUACUGUGUAAAGCAC